UGGGGAAUUUUGGACAAUGGGCGCAAGCCUGAUCCAGCCAUGCCGCGUGAGUGAAGAAGGCCUUCGGGUUGUAAAGCUCUUUCGGCGGGGAAGAAAUGGCACAGGCUAAUAUCCUGUGUUGAUGACGGUACCCGCAUAAGAAGCACCGGCUAACUACGUGCCAGCAGCCGCGGUAAUACGUAGGGUGCGAGCGUUAAUCGGAAUUACUGGGCGUAAAGCGUGCGCAGGCGGUUGUGUAAGUCAGAUGUGAACUCCCCGGGCUCAACCUGGGAACUGCAUUUGAGACUGCGCGGCUAGAGUGUGGCAGAGGGGGGUGGAAUUCCACGUGUAGCAGUGAAAUGCGUAGAGAUGUGGAGGAAUACCGAUGGCGAAGGCAGCCCCCUGGGCCAAUACUGACGCUCAUGCACGAAAGCGUGGGGAGCAAACA
rnacentral:rRNA from 1 species